rnacentral:rRNA from 1 species
UACAGAGGUGGCAAGCGUUGUUCGGAAUUACUGGGCGUAAAGGGCGCGUAGGCGGUCUUGUAAGUCUUGUGUGAAAUCCCUCGGCUCAACUGAGGAACUGCACGGGAUACUGCGAGACUUGAGUUCGGGAGAGGGAAGCGGAAUUCCGGGUGUAGCGGUGAAAUGCGUAGAUAUCCGGAGGAACACCGGUGGCGAAGGCGGCUUCCUGGACCGAUCACUGACGCUGAGGCGCGAAAGCUAGGGGAGCAAACAGG